rnacentral:rRNA from 1 species
AUUGAACGCUGGCGGCAGGCCUAACACAUGCAAGUCGAACGAGUGGCGGACGGGUGAGUAAUGUCUGGGAAACUGCCUGAUGGAGGGGGAUAACUACUGGAAACGGUAGCUAAUACCGCAUACCAUCGGAUGUGCCCAGAUGGGAUUAGCUAGUAGGUGGGGUAACGGCUCACCUAGGCGACGAUCCCUAGCUGGUCUGAGAGGAUGACCAGCCACACUGGAACUGAGAAACGGUCCAGACUCCUACGGGAGGCAGCAGUGGGGAAUAUUGCACAAUGGGCGCAAGCCUGAUGCAGCCAUUCCGCGUGUAUGAAGAAGGGCUUCGGGUAGUGAAGUACUUUCAGGGAGGAGGCGUUAACCGCAGAAGAAGAUCCGACUAACUCCGUGCCAGCAGCCGCGGUAAUAC